rnacentral:rRNA from 1 species
CAAUAGCGUAUAUUAAAGUUGUUGCGGUAAAAAAGCUCGUAGUUGGAUUUCUACCGAAGAUAGCCGGUCGGGUCUUCGACCUUGUAUCUGGUUUUGUCUUUGGUAUCCUCAUAGGGAACGUUUCUGCGCUUUAUUGCGUGGUGCGGUAUCUAUGACUUUUACUUUGAGGAAAUUAGAGUGUUCACGGCAGGCAAACGCCUUGAAUAUAUUAGCAUGGAAUAAUAACAUAGGAUCUUCGUCCUAUUUUGUUGGUUUCUAGGGCUAAGAUAAUGAUUAACAGGGAUAAUUGGGGGCAUCUGUAUCAACGCGUCAGAGGUGGAAUUCUUGGAUUGCGUUGCGACAAACUACUGCGAAAGCAUUUGCCAAGGAUGUUUUCAUUGA